UGGGGAAUAUUGCACAAUGGGCGAAAGCCUGAUGCAGCAACGCCGCGUGAGUGAUGAAGGCCUUCGGGUUGUAAAGCUCUGUCUUUUGGGACGAUAAUGACGGUACCAAAGGAGGAAGCCACGGCUAACUACGUGCCAGCAGCCGCGGUAAUACGUAGGUGGCAAGCGUUGUCCGGAUUUACUGGGCGUAAAGGAUGCGUAGGCGGAUUUUUAAGUGAGAUGUGAAAUACCCGGGCUUAACUUGGGUGCUGCAUUUCAAACUGGGAAUCUAGAGUGCGGGAGAGGAGAAUGGAGUUCCUAGUGUAGCGGUGAAAUGCGUAGAGAUUAGGAAGAACACCAGUGGCGAAGGCGAUUCUCUGGACCGUAACUGACGCUGAGGCAUGAAAGCGUGGGUAGCAAACAGGAUUAGAUACCCUGGUAGUCCACGCCGUAAACGAUGAGUACUAGGUGUAGGAGGUAUCGACCCCUUCUGUGCCGCAGUUAACACAAUAAGUACUCCGCCUGGGAAGUACGAUCGCAAGAUU
rnacentral:rRNA from 1 species